CGGCGGAUCAUAGGCGGCUGUAUCGUGAAGGAAGUUUAUGGUAAGACCACAUAAGACUGAAUAUCGUUCGGCAGCUAUUAUUGGCCUAUCUUACCAAUUAGAUACUAUAAUAACUGAUACAGGUUCAGUUCAUACAUAACCUGAUGUGUUAGAGAAAACGACUAUCUUCGAUUGACCCACUCAAGGAAUAACAAGUCGUAUAUAAGUCCUAUAGGAGACAUAUCAAGCUCUCUUUCCUGGUGGCUGAAAUUACACCGUGCUCAGCGAGUAUAGUGAGGUGCAUCAUCGGCGCAUUUGAUUUUAACGUCAAUGCA